GAUGAACGCUGGCGGCGUGCCUAAUACAUGCAAGUCGAGCGAACGGACGAGACUCUUUCUUCUCUUAUGUUAGCGGCGGACGGGUGAUUAACACGUAUCUAACCUACCUUUAAGACUUGCAUACCUUCGCGAACCCUUAUCUAAUACAGGUUAUUAUUUUGAACCUCAUGGUUCUUAAGUCAUAAACGUUUUUGCUGUCACUUAUUCAUGUUUCCGCGCUGCAUUAGCUAGUUGGUAAGGUAACGGCUUACCAAGGCAACGAUGCGUAGCCGACCUGAGAGGGUGAUCGGCCACACUGGAACUGAGACACGGUCCAGACUACUACGGGAGGCAGCAGUAGGGAAUAUUCCGCAAUGGGCGAAAGCCUGACGGAGCAACGCCGCGUGAGUGAUGAAGGUCUGCGGAUCGUAAAACUCUGUUAGUAGGGAAGAACAGAAGUGAAAGUAAAUGUGGACAUCUUGACGGUACCAAAACAGAAAGCAACGGCUAACUACGUG
rnacentral:rRNA from 1 species